rnacentral:tRNA from 1 species
GCACCGCUAGCUCAAUUGGCAGAGCAACUGACUCUUAAUCAGUGGGUUCUGGGUUCGAGUCCCAGGCGGUGUACAA